AUGGACAGAAUUUCUAGGCGCAGCCAAGGUGUGGAGGGCAUCUGUUUUGGUGGCCUGAGGAUCAGGUUUCUGCUUUUUGCAGAUGAUGUGGUCCUGUUGGCUUCAUCAGAACGUGAUCUUCAGCUUUCGCUGGAGCGGUUCGCAGCCGAGUGUGAAGCAGCUGGGAUGAGAAUCAGCCGCUCUAAAUCUGAGACCAUGGUCUUGAUUCGGAAAAGGGUAGAAUGCCUUCUCCGGGUCAGGGAUGAGGUCCUGCCCCAAGUGGAGGAGUUUAAGUAUCUCGGGGUCUUGUUCACGAGUGAGGGAAAGCUGGAGCGUGAGAUCGAUAGGCGGAUUGGUGCUGCAUCUGCAGUGAUGCGGGCGUUCUACCGGUCUGUCGUGGUGAAGAGAGAGCUGAGUCAGAAGGUGAAGCUCUCGAUUUACCGGUCGAUCUACGUUCCUACCUUCACCUAUGGUCAUGAGCUUUGGGUAGUGACCGAAAGAACGAGAUCGCGGAUACAAGCGGCCGAAAUAAGUUUUCUCCUAGACGCCUCCCUGGUGAGGUUUUCCGGGCACGUCCAACCGGGAGGAGACCUAAAGGUAGACCCAGGACAUGGUGGAGGGACUAUGUCUCUCACCUGGCCAGGGAACGCCUUGGGAUUCCCCCGGAGGAGCUGGCCCAAGUGGCUGGGGAGAGGGAAGUCUGGGCCUCUCGCCUCAGGCUGCUGCCCCCGUGACCCGACUCCCGAUAAGCGGAUGAAAAUGGAUGGAUGGACAUUAAUAAUUUUAUUGAAAACUAAAAAGUUCAGAAACAUUAUUUUACAACCUGAUUAUUAUUUAUGUUUGGUCGACGGUGGCACAGGAGCUAAGUGCUCGCCCUGUAAUCAGAAGGUUGUAGGUUCGAGCCAUUCUCAGUCUGUCGCUGUCGUGUUCUUGGGCAAGGCACUAAACCAACUAGCCUGCUGGUGGAGGUCGGAGGGACCCGUGGAGCCUGUGUUCAGCAGCCUCGCCUCUGUCAGCGCUCGGGCAGCUGUGGCUACAUCGUAG
rnacentral:lncRNA from 1 species